rnacentral:rRNA from 1 species
AGAUUGAACGCUGGCGGAAUGCUUUACACAUGCAAGUCGAGCGGCAGCGCGGGGCAACCUGGCGGCGAGCGGCGAACGGGUGAGUAAUACAUCGGAACAUGUCCAUUUGUGGGGGAUAGCCCGGCGAAAGCCGGAUUAAUACCGCAUAAGCCCUACGGGGGAAAGCGGGGGACUUCGCAAGAGGCCUCGCGCGAAUGGGUUGGCCGAUGUCCGAUUAGCUAGUUGGUGGGUAAAGCUUACCAAGGCGAUGAUCGGUAGCUGGUCUGAGAGGAUGAUCAGCCACACUGGGACUGAGACACGGCCCAGACUCCUACGGGAGGCAGCAGUGGGAAUUUUGGACAAGUGGGGGCAACCCUGAUCCAGCCAUUCCGCGUGAGUGAAGAAGGCCGUUGGUUGUAAGUCUACGUUUGUACCGGAACGUAACGGUAACGUGAAUAUCGUUGCCUACGU